CUUUGCCAUACCAUGCUAAAAACGCUAGUUCUCGUCUGAUCACCGAAGCCAAGCAGCAUCGGGCACAAUCAGUACUUGGGAGGAAGAUCACUUUUUGGCCUUGC
rfam:Ixodes scapularis strain Wikel colony gcontig_1108378871736, whole genome shotgun sequence.